rnacentral:lncRNA from 1 species
CAAUUUAUACCUAAAAUCCUAAACUUGAUGGCUAUAGCCUCCAAAGCUUGAAUGACUUCGAAAAAGAAAUUCUAAUUCCUAAUAAGGCCUUGGGCAGCCUCCUUGAAGCCAACUAGGCAUGGCCUUUGACCAACAAGAAUGAAGAUCUCCAUUCCUUGUGUUUAUACAACCAUGCCUUGCUUUCAUCUCUCCUAAUAAGCCUCCUACUAGUUAAGAUUUUCUUCUUUAGGCUCUAAUUUCCUCUCAAGGCUUCAUACUAAACAUUUAGGUCCUAUAAUUUUUUUGAAAUGCUGUAAUC